AGAGUUUGAUCCUGGCUCAGGAUGAACGCUAGCGACAGGCUUAACACAUGCAAGUCGAGGGGCAGCAAUUUGUAGCAAUACAAAGUUGGCGACCGGCGCACGGGUGAGUAACGCGUAUGCAACCUACCUACAACAGAAGAAUAAUCCGGCGAAAGUCGGUCUAAUACUUCAUAAAACAGGGACACCGCAUGGUGUUAUUUGUUAAAGAUUUAUCGGUUGUGGAUGGGCAUGCGUACCAUUAGGUAGUUGGUGAGGUAACGGCUCACCAAGCCUACGAUGGUUAGGGGUUCUGAGAGGAAAGUCCCCCACACUGGUACUGAGACACGGACCAGACUCCUACGGGAGGCAGCAGUGAGGAAUAUUGGUCAAUGGGCGAGAGCCUGAACCAGCCAAGUCGCGUGAAGGAUGACGGCCCUAUGGGUUGUAAACUUCUUUUGCAGGGGAAUAAAGAUAUUCACGUGUGGGUAGUUGUAUGUACCCUGCGAAUAAGCAUCGGCUAACUCCGUGCCAGCAGCCGCGGUAAUACGGAGGAUGCGAGCGUUAUCCGGAAUCAUUGGGUUUAAAGGGUCUGUAGGCGGGCUGGUAAGUCAGAGGUGAAAGCGCUUAGCUCAACUAAGCAACUGCCUUUGAAACUGUUGGUCUUGAAUGGUUGUGAAGUAGUUGGAAUGUGUAGUGUAGCGGUGAAAUGCUUAGAUAUUACACAGAACACCGAUAGCGAAGGCAUAUUACUAACAAUUAAUUGACGCUGAUGGACGAAAGCGUGGGGAGCGAACAGGAUUAGAUACCCUGGUAGUCCACGCUGUAAACGAUGGAUACUAGCUGUUUGGUUGUUAAGACUGAGUGGCUAAGCGAAAGUGAUAAGUAUCCCACCUGGGGAGUACGCACGCAAGUGUGAAACUCAAAGGAAUUGACGGGGGCCCGCACAAGCGGUGGAGCAUGUGGUUUAA
rnacentral:rRNA from 1 species